ensembl:lncRNA
CCUUACCUUCUUCAAGUCCCUGACUCCCCUUCUCUGACCACGUAGGGGGUUAUUCUCUCCUUUCCCUCCUCCGCUCCCCGCCCCAGCUCUGCUGCAGUGCUCUGACAUCCCAGCUUUUCAGGCCUCACCGGUCUCUCUCCAGCACCUCCUUUCCCACCCCUGCAGAGACUUACAAACCCUCAUUGCCAAUUCCAAAAAUGUCUGUGGUCUUUGCAGCUCCCUGGAGUCCCCGUGUGCUGGAGAAGGUCCAGCGACUGUGCCAACUGGUUCCUUUAGCACCCAUGCUGCCUCCCCCAGCUGGGCCUUCAGGGCUGCCUCAGUCAUGCCUAGCGGAGCCCCCCACCCCCAUCACUUUCCUUCAAAGGCUUGUUCCAAAUAGUUGCCACUCUUCUCUCUUUUUAGGGGCCUCUGGUGCAUCAAAGUGUGUUGAUCCUACUCCUCAGUUUACGACACGUUGGUGUCAUUUGUCCAUGCAAGGCUGCCCUUUGGUUUAUUUUUCCUCUCUCAUCCACCAUACUCAAUCUCAUUCCCUUCCUCCCAAAAGCGUCCGUUCUAGUGUGUGCUGUUUCCCUCCAAUCUAUCUUCCAGAGAUAUAGUUGGAUUUUGGGUGCCCUACAAAAAUACUGAGUGUUAUUUUAUGUGUGGGUUUCCAGACUUAUAUGAACGGUAUUGGAUCUAAUUUUCCCUCAGCAUGGUUUUCAGCUUUGUCCAUGACGCCAUACAGAAAUCCAGCUCACUGCUUCCGACUGCUGCCGAGGACUCCCCUGCAGGCAGAGUCCCCCUUCUUAGCCGUCGCCCAGUGAUGGACUCCCAGGUGGCCUCCAAUUAGCCCAUCUCUUUGACACUCAGUUUUCUCAUUAAACAAAAGGACUAGUGGCGAUAAUACCUCCUUUUACAGAGUUGUGGUGCCAAUUGGUAGUUCAGAGUUUUGCCAACCACCGAGAUUCCAGUUCUUGGCCAUCACACACGGCGCCGUGAGGAACAAGCCCUCAUGCACACCUCUCCACCCACAUCUUUCCUAUCCCAGCCUUCAAGGUCCUCAAGGACUCAAUAAACGGGGGCUAUUACUAUUACUCCCAUGGCAGACGAGGCCACAGAGCACAGCCUCUGGGUCUAGCCCUGCGUUUCCCAGAUCUGUCACCUGGGGCCUCCGUGUCCUCACAGGCAGGAGGGAUAACCACGCUCCCCUCCGAGGACUGCCGUGGAUGGAAUGACAGGGCAGGAGCAAGUGCUGUGUAAAGCAGGAAGCACGGCCGGGUUAGCUAUUCUGUUGUCAGCGGGGGUGGAGGAGAAAGGCAGAACUAGGGGAGGGGGAAAAGCAGAGGAAGAAGGGGAGGAGCAGGCACUGGGAGGCAGCCGGGAGGCCUGGAGAUGCUUUGGUGCGUGGGUGACCUGGGUUCCAGGACGCCCGAGUGUCACAGCAGCAGCCUAUGCUCUCUGGGCAAGGCCCUGGUGCAGAGUCAGGAGACCCAGCUGUAGGCCCCACUCUACGCGCUUCCUGGCUGUGCGGUCACCAGCAAGAGCUCCUGAUGGGCGGUUAUCAAGCUCGGCUGCAUGUCAGAAUCCCUUGGGGAGCAUUAAUGGCUACUGACCCUGAGCCCCACACCUGACCACUUCCAUCAGACUCUCCAGGGGUGGGACCAAGGCCUGGGAACGCGCAGCUUUGAGAAGCACUGUGCUCCAACCCUGUGGGAUUCUUGGACUUUUUUUUCUGUCAGUUCAUCCCUUUGACCACAAGAUGGUGCACUCUUUCUGGGAAAUAUGAUGUUCGCCAAAUGGGCAACAAUGCGUUUUCUCUAUUAAUCCUGAAAGAAUGGGUUUGAAUUUAACAAUCUUCACAGCACCUGGUUAAGCCAGAAUUCUAUGCCCUUGGUGUCCAGCCAUUUAAUGCGUAUCUUUUCCCUUCUGCUAGAAACUGUGCUGGGUUGGGAUGUGUUGUCUACUGAUGUGCAUUCCUCAUGGGGCUGUGAUGCAAAGCAGAGUAGGUGUUCGUUUUGCUUUAAGAUCAUAAUCUUUAGGACCAAUAACCACUAAUAUUCAUUCAAUCCUUUACCAUUUACAAAGUGUUUUUCACCAACUAGCCUUAGAAUAACUCUAUGAGUGGGUAUUAAAGUUCUCAUUUACAGAUGAGAAAACUGAGGCUCAGAGCACUAGUUGAAGGUCACAAAGCAAAAGUUGGCAGAACCAGAUCUUGAGCCCUUCCCGCUGUACUCGGAUGAGAAGAGCACGUGCAUCAGAGGGAUCAGUAGUCACCCGCUUGGGACCCGAAAAGAGGAAACUUCUCAGGACAACCUCUGGGAGACUUCCUAAGCAAGGGAGAAGGAUGCACAGAUGUCCUCUGAGUCUCAUGCCGUCACAGACAACAGGUCAGCAGACAUGUUUGACUGGGCUGAGUGACCAGCUGAGGUAACAGAAGCGAAGUUUCUAGUGCAAAGCUGUAUAGAGUCAGCAGACACUCAACAAGAGGACAGAUCUUAUUAUUUUUAGUUUUCUGUUCCAUAAAAACGAACUGCUACAUCAAUGGGAAAAACAAACCUUAAUUCUGCCUUAAGAAAAAGCUGCAAACUCGUCUCCAAGGAAAAUCUCUUUCUACUACCAAGUGAUGUCUGAUGAGCUUAGUGGGUCAUUUGAAGAUCAUUUACAAGAUCACUGACAGACUUACUGAUGGACAGAUUCCAAUGUCAGGGCCCCAGGACCCCAAACCCUCUAGGUGUUUUUAUCCCAGAUGAAGGGGCUGCAAGUGUAGGUUCACGUUACUUGGCAUAGGAGACUGUAUUCGGGACAGAAGCAGUUCCAUGGAAAGUUUAAUUAAUUAGUAUUUUGAUCAUUUUACUGACUCCAAUGUGCAUCUUAGCAAUUCAGUAUGUUUUAGCACUAUUUCCUGUGCCUCAGCUUCCCUGUCUGUGAAAUGGAGGUAACAGUACCAACCUCACAGGAUUGGUACGAGGAUCAAGAGAAUUUAUUGAUAAAGCACUUACAACCCCACCCAGCACACAGUAAGCACUAUGCAUUUCUUAAAUUAAAUCAUGUUAAAUAAAUAAAUGGAUACGAUCAUAUCCAUUUAUGUAUUUACAAGUGAAAU